UGCACUUGAGACACGCCUUGGCCAU
rnacentral:piRNA from 1 species